rnacentral:rRNA from 1 species
GUGAACGCUGGCGGUAGGCCUAACACAUGCAAGUCGAACGGCAGCACCGUAAGAGCUUGCUCUUACGGGUGGCGAGUGGCGGACGGGUGAGGAAUACAUCGGAAUCUACUUUUUCGUGGGGGAUAACGUAGGGAAACUUACGCUAAUACCGCAUACGACCUACGGGUGAAAGCAGGGGAUCUUCGGACCUUGCGCGAUUGAAUGAGCCGAUGUCGGAUUAGCUAGUUGGCGGGGUAAAGGCCCACCAAGGCGACGAUCCGUAGCUGGUCUGAGAGGAUGAUCAGCCACAUUGGAACUGAGACACGGUCCAGACUCCUACGGGAGGCAGCAGUGGGGAAUAUUGGACAAUGGGCGCAAGCCUGAUCCAGCCAUACCGCGUGGGUGAAGAAGGCCUUCGGGUUGUAAAGCCCUUUUGUUGGGAAAGAAAAGCAGCAGGUUAAUACCCCGCUGUUCUGACGGUACCCAAAGAAUAAGCACCGGCUAACUUCGUG